rnacentral:sRNA from 1 species
AUCCGACGACAGAGCAUCAAUGCAGUACAGGCACUUAUGGAAAGGAAUAUGCUUGAUCAGGAUUUCAUGAGAGAUGGCGUUGUUCCCGGACUCUUUAACAUUUAUCAAUCAGGUGUCGGUGCGUUCCAGUCAAACGAUCUAAGGAUGGAGUGUGUCCAGGUACGCAAUUGCAGAUGAAAAUUGUAACGAGACCGAAUAUUUCUGAAAAAAUUUUUUGACUUUGGAAUUUUUAUUGUACUUGAUAUAAACACCACCUGGGCGGCGUUGACUUUUUUAAAGUUGACAUAGUGCUCAUCUUGCACAUCUAGAUACCACUGAAUAUUAGAACCGGGAAUUCUGAAAACUUGAUGAGACACUCUGGUAAUUACCAUCUGAUGUAAACUGAAGCAUUCCGGUAGGCUCACCGGACUAGCAUCACUUUACAGAAAAUUUUUGUAUAUUGAAAAAAUGUCUCAUCGAGAUCUUCUGUUUUCUCGGUUUAAAUUUAUUUAAUAACAAUUGGUACUUUGUGAAUCAACUAGGAUAGAUCAGACACGUGAAUUAAUGGUGAUCUUCUAUCGAUCUUCACCAAUUAUUUGUGUUAGUUAUCUUCCUCUUAAUUCCUCUUGCCCACCUAUUUCUACUAGAAACACCUUUUUCGAAAAUGCAGCGCUGUCGCCGCCGCUCGCUCAACUCUUCAUUCUAUUUCUUCUACAGCAGUACUCUCCGUUUUUCAAUGUUGUUUCGUCGUUUCAUUCGGGUUUUUUGUUCACUUUUGUGAGUGGUGUGUUUCCGUGAGCGUGAGUGUGAGUGAGCUGUGCAGCGCCCUUGGACGACUACGACCGAAGGAAGGCGAUAUUGUGCUGAUGCUGCCUGCUCGAUCGUCGGUUUGACGACGAAGACAAGGACGACGAUGCACACGAAACGAAAUAGUGUGAAGCCGACGACGAGCGGACUAGCGCGCAGAAAAUGGCAUGUCUGAUACCUCACGUGCCUCACGUAGUGUCUUCGUUGCCCUCGGGCCCCAAUGGCGCUCGCUCACAGCGAGAGACGCACACACAAACAUGUAUACAAAAAUGAAAGAAGAGAGAGAGACAGAGUAUAACGAAAAAUUGGCUGAGCGUGUGCCCCAGCAGGGCGCUCACGGCGCUCCGCUCAAGGCAUAUAACUCUGGUAAUCUCUCCACACUCCUUUGUCACAUUUAUCUCUCGCUGCCACACUCACUUUUCUGGCGCUCCUCUCUUUGCUGGUACACGUGGCCAAAUGCGCUCACCGAAAAGAGGGCGGAGCCGUGAGAUGUCGUUGACGGGCGCCGCGUCUCGGUGUGAGGCUGGGCGCCGAUGAUUCUCCGCUGCUGCCUGCGUGUUUGGUUGUCUCUGCUCUCUCUGCUCCCUCUCUCGCCUCGCCCCGGGCAUAGGGCUCCGCCUCUUUUAGUAUGUUGUUGGCUGUUGAGGCCCUUUCUGUUGGCCUGUGUCGUCGCUGUGGUGCUGGUGUGUUGUGUUGUGUGUGCGUUUUUUGUGCGUGCGGGUGAGUGCGCGGCGCCUUUCCUCGCCGUUGAGCGUAUUUUUGUGCCAUACGGGAAAGAGGAAGGUGUCCUCCUGCACUUUACCCAUCCUAAAAGCCUUCACCACAGCAUCAACACUGAACUGUAUUUUCUCCCUGAAUAUUCUUCUGUUACCUACUGUGAUCUGGAAUUCUAGAAAAUUCAAGAUCUUUCAUCCUAUGGCAGUACCUAAAAAGCUAGAUAUUAGUUGCCAGGCAUGCAUGAGGUAAGAAGCAUCGUAAGGAGCUAGUUCAGCGUGUCCAUAGAAACGAGUUGAAAUAAGAAAAUUUUAGUGAACGGAGAUUCCGAUACUCACCGUGUUCGUAGGCGUUCCCGGCAUUUGUCCACCCACUAAGCUUCAGAAAAUGAAAAUUUAAAUGCCUAAGAAUGUAUAGACCGCACUAAUGUUCUACGUUUUCGCAGCAGAAAGAGGUGCCAUUUGCAAGUUGAAGGUAUUGCUCUAUACCUUCUAAAUUCCAACGCAAAGAGUCAAUCAGGAUUCUCCAAAUCGUUUUUCUUUCUGAAGAAAUACACGCCCCCUUUCCAAAUCAUCAUUUUCGUAUCCAAACAACGCCUAGAACCGAAGUUAUAGCAUCGACUUUUAGAGUGUCGUCGUUGCAUUUUUUCUUUGCUGCGAUGUUUGUAUGUUUCUGUGCCUCCUUCCUCUUCUCUGCUCACUCCACCGAUGCGCCCUCUUUCUCUCAGCCUUUGUGCUCUCUGAUAGUCUCGUCGCUCUGCUUCUCCUCCCUGCCGCCGCGACCUCAUUUUUUGCUUGCUUGCUCGCUUGCAAGGGUGGUGGGGUCGAAAUUGAGAAUGUGUUUUUUAUGCGGAGAGAUGAAGAGAGAGUGAGAAAGUGAGCGCGCGCGCGUGUUGAGCACUGGAUGACGUUAGGUUAAGCUUCAGCCUUUUUUCCGAGCUGAUAACACUAAAAGUUCAUGUUAUAGUGUGUAUACUGAUAAGGGGUAGAAGUAGAAGCUCAAUAAAGAUACAAACCAUUCUUUGUCAAUCAUUCUGUCAUAUUCAUCUACCGUAUUCGCUGUACUUUCCAACAAAACCUCAGUGUUGAAACUAGCUCACACACAGAGGUUGUCUGCUCUGAACGAUGAAAGACAUGGGUAGUGAGACGUCGGAGCCUCGUCGUAUCACUAUUCUGUUUUUCGCCGUCGGGAUCGUGACCUGGAAGCUGUAAACUUGUAAGUUGUUUUGUAUUCUUCAAUAAAAAGAGUGUAAAACUUCAGCUAAAGUUGCAACAACUUCACCAAUGAAAAAUAAAAUUUAUGAAACGUUAUUUAUAGUGCUAGAGAUAGAUAUAUCCACAUCAUCUUUGCUCUGAUUAUGUAAUCUAUAUUCAAAGUUUUCACAGGAUCACGUUGUGAAUUGAACUUAUGUGCACUAUGUAACUGUUCCUUCCAGUCAUCGGCUCAAUAUGUAAAAAAUUUGGAUCAAACUUCCAGAGAAUAUAAACAAUGUUCUCUAGCUCCCACAGGAAUUUUACUGAAAAUCUGAAAAAUCUAAACGGAAGAAUUCAAAUGAAAACAUCAAUCAUGAUUCUGAUGUGUUGUUUUUGUUUCUGAAUUUGGCGUUCUUUUUUUCGUUGCCGGGAAGAGGAAGAAGACUGUGAACACGAACACCCUUCUUCUUUUCUUUCUUUCCAUCUGCCGUUUUCUCUAAACGAACAAAAAAGACGGAAGAAAAAAAAACGUUUUUCUUCAUCAGAUUGCCACCAUAUGCCUUCCCCGGUCUCCUUUUUUCUGAGAGAAUGAAAAAAAAAACACUCGGAAAAAAGCUGUCAAUCUCUUGAGUUUUAUGACCCCCGAACCUCUGUUCCUGUUCAAGGUGAACGAUGAUCGAAUAUGUACAAAAAUUAGUACUUUUAUAUGGUUGUUCUUACGAAAAUGGAGAUGGUUCAUAAAAGCUCACAUGGCAGAGAGUGGAAUGUCAAGUUGGCAAUUUAUGUGAUUGCUUGCCUAGUGCAGCUGAAAAUUAGAUGAAUUUUUCAGUGGUUUUAGUGAACUUUCGAGACGAUAAAAAUGUAAAAGUAGUUGUAUUCUUCUCUAUAAUGGUAUAAUUGGGUUUUUUGAAACGAAUAAUAUUCGAUUAUGAUAAUUCAUGUCUUGAUACGUGUCUGAUGUUAAAGCGAAUUCACAUUGCAUUCCAACGCCCACCACAAUAUCAUUGGAAUUUCAGCUUUAAAAUAGAUUUUCCAACAUUCCUCGGCAUUCUUUCAUAUCGACAACGGCAGCUUCUCCUUAUUGCACGCCUAGCGACUCUUUCCUCUUUCAUGGAAUUUUGAUCGUCUUUAUUUUUCUUUCCUCUCUUUCGUUUUCUCGACUUUUUCAACUAUUGAUCGCAAUCAGACGAAACACAUCAGCGAUCGAUUAAAGAAAAGGGAAACAUGAAACAGAAGUUGUGAGAAAAAAAUGAUGACGAUGGUAAUGGCGACGACGCCCCAAUGCUGGAAAAGGGAAAAAUGAAAAAAAAAACAAGAAUUGAUUUUUGUUUCUUUUCUUCCCUUCUCUUCAAUGUUCAACUACACUACUGUUCGUUUCUCGCACACUUUUCUCUGCCCACUCACUCUGAACAGUACACUUUGGAAAAGAAAUGCGAAAUUUGAAAGAAUUACCCCAUCGCUGGGGGUAUUUGAUGCCCAACAAAGUCACUGAAUUCACUGAACAUUCGAAAUUUCAAUUAGGAAAUGGAAGUGACUUUUUACCUAGUCGGGUGACAAUCGAAUAAUACGCUAACGAAAAAUAUGGGGAUUUGAUGAUUUCCAGGGAUGUAAUUACUUUUUUGUUUCAUUUCCGAGAGUACUAUGAGUUUUUUUCUGAUUGUCAAUAUUUUCAGACUAAAUUUAUUGAAUGGCAGAUUGAGAAACUUAUUAUUCGUUAAGUCAAUAAACUGUUCGAAUUAGUUCGUGCUGGAGUGUAAUAUUAUAAGAAAAAAAUGGUAUAUCUAUGGCUGUUCGAAUUUCCAUUUCUUAAAACAUUUAUGCUCCAAUUAAUGGGAUAUGGCUGAGUUGGAGUAAUGUAGUUUUAACGUAGAGAAGGUUCAAACUACAACGGUUGGUGUCAUAACAGAAAAAUUAGAAAAUUUUCAAGAGUCCUCCCGUUAGAGCCAAAGCGAACGCAUAUCAGCGUUUUAAAUACAUUUCCAAGUCUAACUUCACCUUCAAGUUUUAUUUUAGUGCAUUGUAGUUACACUUUUUCGAAUUAUAACUGAUUACAGUUCAAACUUUCAGAGUGGAAGUAAGUAAUCUUAUCCAAAUAUGAGUGAAUAAUCAAUCAACUAGUCGAUUGGUUCUUGUUACGUCUUUUUGACUUCAUAAAUCUAGAUAUCAUACUAACUAUAUAAGUUUUGUUAAAAUUGGUAUAUUCUUUUGAAAAUUACUUUUGAAAUUACUAAUUUUAGACUGUUAAAAAUAAUUUCAAAAUAUUUUUCAGAAGUUUUAAUGUAAUAUUUAGUCAUUUUAGCAGCGUUUAUUUUCAGGACAUUUUGGCGUUAGAGAUGAAAAAUAAUAAAUUCGGACAAAAAUAAUUAAAAUUUGAAAAUACCAAAAAAAACAACAAGGAUGUCAAUUCUACCCAAAAAAUUAAACAUAUUUUAAAGGUAUAUGUUUUAUAGGUAGAGUAAAGGUAGAUUUUUGUUUUAAAAAAACAUUAAAAACCACAUUUUGCUAAAGAUUUUUAAAGAUUUCAAAAUACGAAAAGUGUUUAAAAUACAAACAUUAUUUUUUUGUGAUUUUUUCUUGGUGCCAAACAACCAACAAAAAAAAAAGACGAAAAAUACCAAUUGUUCUUCGAAAUUACAUAAAAACCAAACAUUCUCAGCCUUGCUUGGCAUAAAAUUGGAGCAGACUCUAUCUUGAACUAAGUUCUGAUAGUUUUGAACAAAAUUGAAAAUGUCUUGGUUGAAUUUAAUUAACCUUCAAUGUUUUCUAAAUUAAUUUCUAAAAUGUUUAGUGUUAUCGUGUUUUCGAUUGGUAAAGCUGCAAUACUAUUUUUCGGAAGUCUUCGCGACUAAUUUUCAAAAUUUCAAUUUUGAUUUCAUAGUACAAGUUUUCACUUAAAAGAGCUGAAAUUUGUACUAAAUUGUGGUUAGUUGUGAAAAAAAACUGUAAUUCCAAAAUUCUGUAAGUUGGGAAAAAAUUAUUGCAAAAUAAGCAAUACACCGUUUUGGAAGUAUCGAAGUUAGUAAGAAAGUCUUCAAACAAAAAUUAAAGUGCAAGUCGGUACUUGUGCAGGCACACAUUUUGAAAAUAAGCUUUUUUUAUUUUUUUUUAUUUGUAAAAAAAAACUUUAAAAAUGGGCAAUUCUGAAAAUACGUUGAUUUUUGUAGUUUAGCCGGAUUCCAAUAAUUUUUUUUUCUCAGAUUCGGAAUCACAAAAAUUGAAUAGCCAGUUUUGAAUAUUCCACAUUCAUUCCAUAUAGUUGGUUGGAAAAGUUUUUCGUUCAAUCUAUUCAAAUUCUUGAAGUGUAUGUCUUUUGUUCGUAAAAUUCUGCACUUUUCUUCGAUUUUGACUAGUGAUUUACGUUUAUGGUGUUGCACUUUUGAGAAACGGGAAAAAGUCUUCGUAGACAUUUGGCGCACUCUCACAAUUGGUUGCUGAUCCCCAGUUCCAAUCGGUUUUUUUACAACGAAAGUAUAGUGGGUUUAUGACGUUUCAGGGAGGUUUAUUGCAUUUUUAGGGGAAUUGGAAUGAACUCAAUACAUUUUGAACGGUUCAUAAGCACAAUUUUUUAUGAAAUUUAUAAUUCAGAAUAAGUAUUCUGUAGGAAAAGGUGUUUAUAAUUAUAUUUAUUUCUUCAUCCAUGUUAGUAUUAAUAAACUAAUAUAUUGAAUUUCAAUAUAUGCGAGAGAUAUUAGUUUUAGAUAUAAUCAUGAAUUAUUCGAAAGUUGAGAGACAUUCCAAUUAAAUUAGUAUACAAUUUUAGUCAUCAAUUUUUUGAUUUUUCCACUCGCAGAGUUCGCUCGACACGUUCGAAACUGUACAAUGUGUAAGAGUGCCUUGACGUAAUCGAAUUGGUACUGUAGUACACACUAUUAGAGCAAUCGAAUGUAAUGUUAGAACUCAUCAAAUGGCAACAAGAGUGUGUGGUAGAUGACAGUGUGUCGAUAUUCGUCUCAGCGGGACAUUGGAAACAAAGAGUAUUUUCAACUGAUGUGAUCACAUUAUUCUUGGACUGAGUAAAUAGUCCAUUUUUUGACUGUGCCGACAUUUUUGAAAUAGAGGGAAAAUAUUAUCUUUCGAAUACAUAAUGAUUUGAAGUACAGUUUUGAAAGUAGUGGUGUUUUGACAAUUUAUUAUUUCUUCGUUAAACCUAAUUCAUAUAGUCGAUUUAGAGAAAUAGUUUCCAGGGACUGAAGUUUGAAUACAAUUGAAAUUGGAAUUGAAAAUAAUUGUUUAUGUUAUGUAUCUGAUGCUCUGAUGGUCGUUUGCAGUUCAAGAGUCCCCUGUGUACAUUGUUCGAAAGUUUUCGAGUUAGAUUUGAAACCGAAGAUAUCAUCUUUUCUCCAAUUCGCUCAAUUUCACUCAUUUUCCCUCAUUUUCUCGUUUCUCUCUCCUUCGGUACCUUAUCUUUCGCACCCUCGAUCAUCUUCGUAACUUCUCAAAACACUAGCCUCACAUACAAAAAGUGGUUGUAAAGGUGCGAAGGGCGGUCGGACGUCUGGUAGGAAUCACUUGCCUCCCGGGGUGUCGUCGAUCUCAAACGCAAAGAAAAUUUUUAGAAAUGAAAAGUUUUGCGCUCCAACCUCGUCGUCUAGCGCCUUUCGAUUUUUUGAUCAUCUGAAGAAGAUAGGAAGCAUCGGAGAAGAUAGAACGCAACAGGUGCAGAACCAGAAACGCAUCGGACACACUGGUUUACUAUCGGCUGAGCAGGUGCCGUUGGUUCUGGAUUCAUAUACAUCUUAGAAAAGGCGGCAAACAAAAGACAUGUGUUGUAUAGGAUUAGUUGACAGUUGCAAUACAAGAAUAUGAUCUUACGCUGAAAUGUAAAUUUUUUGUGAGGAAAAUCCAUACAGAAAACCUGGAGAAAUUAAUUUAAUCUGUUUUGCUAUUCUUUCGAAGUAAACACUUUUUCUGCUGUAUAUGACGGUGAGAAUUGAUAGAUCAAAGAGAGCAACUUUUUUAUUCUCUUUACCGAUUGCUCUAUAACGUCGAAGGACUAGAGGUACACCAACCACUGCUAGGGAUAACUUGAACUGUAGGAGACACAGAGAGAGGGCAUCUGGUGUUGAAUGGGAAAGUGCCGCCAGAUGGUGUGAUGAUGAUGGUAACAAGGGCGUUUGUGAAGGAGAAGAGAGAUGGAAGGCAACACAUGGCGCCGAAGACAAAGGACCGGGCAGCUGCUGCUGCUACUGCAGGGCUGUCCUCAUCUUCGUUCUACCCUCCUGUCGUCAUUGCGAUCGGUUUCCUGACGAGAUUCGUUGAUUCAAAACGUGAUUGAAGAUAGUUAGAGAGAGAGAGAAAGAGCUCGAGUAAUGCUCGGAUCGAUUGACUGAGGAUAGUUGUGUUGUAUUUGAGUAGAGGAAAAGUGAUAAGGAUGCGCGAAGGCCGGAACACGCACUUGAGUGCCGCCUAUCGGUAGGCAACAAGCCGGUUAUUUUGUGCACAAAGGUAGAAGGUAGAAGUGAUCAGCCAGUAGGGUAUUCAUACACGGAGAUAAUAGUUAGGAAAGUUGUGACGGUUUCGUAGAUCAAAAAUGCACUGUACAAUUGUUCUUUUAAAGUUCAACCACAGUCAUACUUCUUUUUGAAAAACAAAUUUUUACCGAUUGUUACAUCUCAUUCAAAUUAUACAAUCAAUUUUUUUUAGUGCCCCAGUCAUCCAGCAAUCGGUAACAGAGCACACUAGGUUUUAUGGACCUUUUUCUAGUCACUUCGUAGCGGCCUAUUUUAUUGCACUACCGCCCAUACGAAUACAAAUUGCGCAUUCGAGUAUUAUGGGACCCUUCAUUCCAUCCGCCAUCGUGUUGUGUUCGCACCAAAUAACAGACGGAAUUGAGAACAGCAGACGGGCGGCCGUUUUAUAGAUGCUCCGUCGCCAGAUGUGUUCUCUUGGAUUCAUUAGCCAGCUCGGUUGAAAAGGAAUUGGAGGAAACGGCGUUAAUGGUCUGAUAGAUUUAUCGAAAGGAUUCUUGGAGAUGUGUCGUUUGAACAAUAAUCAAAGUUAUUGGCUAAUGAAAUAACACAGCAGAGUCGUAUUAGAAAAGAUUAGGGUAGUGUUUGAAGUACUGUAGUCCGCGUUUUAAAACUGUAUUAUUGAAACAUUCUGAUCUAGAAAUGUUGAGGUUUCUGAAGUGACAAUACCCCAUUCCAAAUAGUGGCCAUUUCUUCAAAUUGAGCUAAUACAAUGCCAACAUUUCCCUCACAGUAUAAACUUCCUGGAAACAUUUGCUCUUCUCCAUUGCUUCUGCUGCCGUUGUCCUUUCCCUUCGAUAUUCACUUUAACUCGGAAUAUUUCAUGCAUAUUUGAGGGGAAUUGCGUGUCCGCUGCUUUUCGUUUUUGAAUGAAGAAGGUCCCUUUAGGGUCCGUACGUCCGAAUAGCAUGAGCGGAGCAUUAGAAGGAAAAAGAGAGACCCAGAUGAUGGAAUUGCGUGUGUGUGUGUAUGCAUGGGCUCUUCCUUUCCAAGAUUGUGCCGCUUCUUCUUCUACUUCUCGAUGAGUUUUUGUCUCCUAGUUGUCGUCCUUCUCUUCUAGUCGUCUUCGUUUUUUCUUCCUUUUUUUCCAGAAAGUAGUUCGCGUCUUCCCUCCGCCUUGGAUUAGGAUCACCCUGCGAUGUGUAUGUGUCUGUACCCUCUUCAUAGAGCAUACUCUGGAAGUGGGCGGGAAUCCGGAGCAUCGAGAUAGUACCAAUUGCUUGAAGAGAUUCGAAAGAUAUUGAGAAGUAGGAGGAGGCAACACUAUGCGGAGACUCCGCCCCCACCACAACCGCCGCCCGGGGUGUUUGUGUGGAGUGCGCGUGUUUGUGUGCGAGUGUGUCUACUGAAGAGAAGGCUGCUGCCGUCUUCUUAUUCUUCUUCUUCUCGUCCUCUACUGCUGCAGCAGCUUCCGAGGGUCCCGUCGUCCAACUUGUAUUGAGCCAUUGGUCCGCUCUAUGUGCUGUGUGUGUGUGCGGAGACAUGAAAAGCAGUCACAUGCCCCCAGAGCGGAGCUCCUCGAGCCCUCACUUCUUCUUCUUCUUCGUCUUAUUCUACCUCUUCGUAUUUUAUUCUUCGCUACCACAAUCGUAUUUCGACGAAUCUAAACAGUAUACAGAAAGCCAUCAAAGCGGUGGUUGAUGUGUUGCAAAUUAUGACUUUCAUAUCACAGCCAGCUUUGAUGUGCUGCCUGUUGCACUGUAAUUUUUUAUAGCAAAUGGUACGGUAAUAUUCCAAAUUUUGCAUGAAUUUGUAAGAUACCAUAAAAAUAUUGAAGUUUUUUUUUGAAUUUUGAAAUAUGAAAAUUCGAGACUUACUAUAUUGAAACGGCAUCUACUGCCUAAAAAAAAUUGAUGCAAUAUUCGGACUGUAGAUAUAUCUUGUUGUACUGUUCUGUUACUUCAAAAAAAUCAUAACGUAUAAUUUUAAUGUUUUUUAAGCUUUAGUAGUUUUUCGAAAUACUCGAAAUCUCGUCUACUUGAACCCUAUACCGUAAAAAGACUGUGAGCAAAUCUAAAUUUUUGAGAAAACUCAAUUGAUUCUAGAAGAACUUUGAGUGCAUAAGAUAAGGAAUCCGAUGAUAAAUUGCACGCGAAACCCUUGUACAUGUUAUAAGAAACGUAUGCAGCCAGCAAGCAUAAAAUUUAAGCAAACGAAUUUGUGAUUUUUUGCAUUUCUCGAUGGGAUAAGAAGAUUAAUCCGUCCGCAGUGCACGAGUAGCAUACACUUAUUUUAUAAGAUAUGCUACACGAAAACAUUAAAAUAAAAUACCAGAGAAAACGGCAAGUACAAAAAAGGAAGCCAUGAAAUUAACAGAGAUUUUCGGUUUCGUUUCGUCAUUGGAUGACGAGAGUGGGAUUUUAAGUGCACAAACUACAAUACACAAAAAUAUUCAUUUUCAGGCACUUUGCCAGGUUAUCUCGUAUGAUGCGAUCCACGAUCGACGAUGGUUAUUCGAUAAUUUCCUGCCACGUUUUUCACAAAUGCUCAAAGAUCCGACGAUGCAUGUCAGGAAGGUAGGAGAUGUUAGAAUUGCAUUAAUCUGGAUGACGGGAAUUUGAUGAUCGAAAGGAAAUAUAUAGCUAUUAUCGAAUUAAAAUAUUAAUUUUGAAUUUUGAAAAAAGGAAUCGAGGCGUUACUUCAAGAUAUAAGAAAUAUGGGAAAAUCCAAUAAAAUAAUAAUUAAAAACAGGAAACGAAACUGGCAGAGAUUUUAUGUUCACCAUCUCAUAUUCCUAUAAGCUGAAAAGUAAUCAGCAUAUUGCCAGAAGUUAGAAAAAAAGUUAGAUUGAGUAGACUUUUUAAUUUUAAUCAAUUUUUACCAAAUACAGAACACUUCCAUUUAUUGAAAACUGAGAUUUAAUUAUGUGAAAAAUUAAAAUUAAAAAUUUGCUUUGCACUGAAUACAGAUAAUCAAAAAUACAGCAAAAACGAAGAGAAAUCCUUAUUUUUCAGAGUGCCCUUCAUAUUUUUGGAAAUCUUGGAAACAUGUUUGGACAGAAAUUCACCGAAGUGGUAUGACUACGAACUACAAAAUCGAAAAAUCAACUUUAAAAAUUAAUUUCAGUUCUUGGUUCCCCACCUGAUUACACUCUCGUGCGAUAUGACAUGGGCGGUUCGGAAAGUUGCAUGCGAGGUACAGUUUCAAGGUUUCGAAAUUUGUAGAAUAGUAUCUUGAUUGAAAAAUUAUUUGUUUUUCAUAUUUCUUGGAAAGAGGAUGUAGAUAUUUUGGUUCAAACAUAUAAUUUCAGAUAUUUGUGAAAGUGGCUGAAUGUGCUUCAAAUCAAGUGAGAAUUGACAUUUUGUCACCUAAUUUCGUGAGAUUAUUGAAUGAUCCGAACAAAUGGGUGUCGUUCAUUGCUUAUCAACAACUUGGACCAUUCAUUUCACUAUUUGCUAAUCCGGAUAUUACGGGACUUGAACUUCGAAAUGGACAAGUCGUUGUCAGAGAUCCAGUAGUAUUAGAACCAUCAGUAACUGAACAGGAAGAUCCAUCAAAUUCUACAUUUUCGGAAGACACAUCGGAUGAUUUUAGAACACUUCCUAAAGAUACGUGGCUGCCUGAAGUUGAUUUUAAUGAUGACUUUGAAUAUCAAUUGGGAUCAAUCGAUAAUACACAGAAUCAAAAGGAAUUGACAACUGUGACGACAGCAUUGGUGAAAACUCCGAAACGAGGGGAACGAGUUAUGGACAGGUUGGUCACAUUUUAUCGAAUAUUUAGAAGAAUCUCAUCGAUUUCAAAAAAAUAUGAGAAUUAUGGAUUAAAAAACAGCAAAAUCAUGAAUUCUUAUUCCUGAAUUAAUUGUACUUCAAAUCCUCAAUUUUUAGCGUUCUGUCUGGAAUCAACAAAAUGUUUGGAUCGUUGGAACGAAGCUCGCCGAAAUCAAAAGAAGUCGAAAAAAUUGCUGCCACAUUUUCAAGUCCAUCGAAACGAUCACCACUAUCACUUCACAGUGCAGUCAGUCUGAUUGAUAAAUUCAGCAAAAGAAGCAAUCCGAACAAUCCACAGUAAGGAAUUUUGAUUCAAAGUGAAGGAAUUGGAGUUUUCUUCACAUCAAAAUGAAAAAUACCGUAAUUGGUCUCGAUACGACAAUGUUUGUAAAAUACAAACGGAAGUGUUUCUUUGAAGAGUACUGUAGCUUUAAACUUUCGUUGUUUCUGAUAUUUCAUCGAUAUUUCAUAGUUUUUUGUUAAAAAAUUUUUUAAAUCAAACAACAAAGAUAAUACAAUUAAAACACAUAAAUUUUAACAAAUCGUGAGCUAUGAAAAAUCAAUGAAAAUUCCACUGCAUCGAAAGUUUCAAACUACAGUACUCUUUAAAGGCGCACACAUAUUCUUAUUUUACAUAAAAAUGUCGCGUUGAGACCGGGUAGCGUACUUUAUGCGCAAUAUGGUCAAAUUCUAAGAUUUAAUUGUAUUUUCACUGUUUAAAAUCACCACUUUUUUCAGGCGAUUCCCAGUAUUUGAUUCUGCCAACUCGGAUUCCACAUUAUCAUCUAAUUCCUCUAACAAUAACAGCUCAGAGCAGCAGAAUUCGACGGGAAUCGCUGCAAAGUGCAGUUCAACUGAUGAUUUGACUAAAUUAGGACUUGAAGACGAUGACUG